rnacentral:lncRNA from 1 species
GAAUGAUAACAAGUGAGUUGGGAGCAGAUGAUGGUAGAGCCAUUGAGAUGGCAGGGUUCACGUUAAAGUGUAAGAAAGCUAGAGAAUGGUUCAAGAACUAUGUGGACCCGAGACUUGAGAGUAUGACAUGGGAAGAGUUCGCCAACGAAUUUGCUGGAUGGGCUUUUCCUGACAGUUCUAGGGAACUAAAGGUUGUGGAGUUUGAGCAGUUGAGACAGACGGAGGAGAUGAGCGUUGAUGAGUAUACAGAUAAGUUUCUGGAAUUGUUGCCAUAUGUCGGUCAGGCAUAUGAUACAGAU